GACGAACGCUGGCGGCGUGCUUAACACAUGCAAGUCGAACGGAGUUAAAGAUUCGGUUUUAACUUAGUGGCGAACGGGUGAGUAACGCGUGAGGAACCUGCCUCUCAGUGGGGGACAACAGUUGGAAACGACUGCUAAUACCGCAUAAAACCGUAGUACCGCAUGGUACAUCGGUCAAAGAUUUAUUGCUGAGAGAUGGCCUCGCGUCUGAUUAGCUAGUUGGUGGGGUAACGGCCCACCAAGGCGACGAUCAGUAGCCGGACUGAGAGGUUGACCGGCCACAUUGGGACUGAGAUACGGCCCAGACUCCUACGGGAGGCAGCAGUGGGGAAUAUUGGGCAAUGGGCGAAAGCCUGACCCAGCAACGCCGCGUGAAGGAAGAAGGCCUUCGGGUUGUAAACUUCUUUUACCAGGGACGAACACAAUGACGGUACCUGGAGAAAAGCAACGGCUAACUACGUG
rnacentral:rRNA from 1 species